UUUCCGUAGGUGAACCUGCGGAAGGAUCAUUAAUGAGUUGUCAUGGGGUUCGAUGCUGGCAGCCAAUUUUUGGAUGCAUGUGCUUGCCCUAACAAUCAUCUUCCAAACACCUGUGCACAUUUUUGAGGGAGUCUUGAGUUGGUUGCCGCUCUUGGGUGAUUUUCUCACAUUCCCUUAAAUCAUUAUACGCUAUUAACAAUGUUGAACGUGCUCUGUGCCGCAAGGCUAUUAAUAUAAUACAACUUUUAACAACGGAUCUCUUGGCUCUCACAUCGAUGAAGAACGCAGC
rnacentral:misc_RNA from 1 species